rnacentral:rRNA from 1 species
UUGCACUCUAUGAGAGUGGCGAACGGGUGAGUAACACGUAGGUGAUCUGCCUUUGGAUUUGGGAUAGCCUGUGGAAACACAGGGUAAUACCGGAUACGACCUUUGUUUUGAUAGAUGAAGGGGAAAGUCGCUUAGGCGACGUCCGAAGAUGAGCCUGCGGUUCAUUAGCUUGUUGGUGGGGUAAUGGCCUACCAAGGCGACGAUGAAUAGCCGGCCUGAGAGGGUGAUCGGCCACACUGGGACUGAGACACGGCCCAGACUCCUACGGGAGGCAGCAGCUAAGAAUCUUCCGCAAUGGGCGAAAGCCUGACGGAGCGACGCCGCGUGAACGAAGAAGGCCGGAAGGUUGUAAAGUUCUUUUCCUGGGGGAGAAUAAUGAGAAGAGGUAAUGCUUCUCAGAUGACGUGAACCAGGGAAUAAGCCCCGGCUAAUUACGUGCCAGCAGCCGCGGUAACACGUAAGGGGCAAGCGUUGUUCGGAUUUAUUGGGCGUAAAGGGCGUGUAGGCGGUCAUGGAAGUCUGGUGUGAAAUAUCUCGGCUUAACCGAGGGAACGCGCUGGAAACUCCAUGACUAGAGUAUAGGAGGGGGAGCUGGAAUUCCUGGUGUAGGGGUGAAAUCU